AUGAGAUUAGGGCUUUUUAAGCCUUACCUCCAACCCUUUGUCUACCUUACCACUGUUGCCUGGGCGGGUCGCGACCUCGUGUCGCCGUCGGCGUAUUAAAGUGCGCUCUCGCGUGCCCGCCCCUGGGCCAAACCUUUAAAACCCUUUGUAAAAACUAGUCUUCUGAGAGUAAAUUAAAUACUUCA
rnacentral:misc_RNA from 1 species